UACGUAGGGUGCGAGCGUUGUCCGGAAUUACUGGGCGUAAAGAGCUCGUAGGUGGUUUGUCGCGUUGUCCGUGAAAACUCACAGCUCAACUGUGGGCGUGCGGGCGAUACGGGCAGACUGGAGUACUGCAGGGGAGACUGGAAUUCCUGGUGUAGCGGUGGAAUGCGCAGAUAUCAGGAGGAACACCGGUGGCGAAGGCGGGUCUCUGGGCCGAUACUGACGCUGAGGAGCGAAAGCCGUGGGUAGCGAACAGG
rnacentral:rRNA from 1 species